ACGUAGGGUCCGAGCAUUGUCCGGAGUUACUGGGCGUAAAGCGCGCGCAGGCGGCGGUGUAAGCAUGGCGUGAAAGCCCCAGGCUCAACCUGGGAGGGUCGUCGUGGACUGCACCGCUUGAGGGCGGUAGGGGCUGGUGGAAUGCCUGGUGUAGUGGUGAAAUGCGUAGAGAUCAGGCGGAACACCCGUGGCGAAGGCGGCCAGCUGGGCCGUCCCUGACGCUGAGGCGCGAAGGCGUGGGGAGCGAACGG
rnacentral:rRNA from 1 species